rnacentral:rRNA from 1 species
GUGGGGAAUCUUAGACAAUGGGCGCAAGCCUGAUCUAGCCAUGCCGCGUGAGCGAUGAAGGCCUUAGGGUUGUAAAGCUCUUUCGUGGGGGAAGAUAAUGACUGUACCCCAAGAAGAAGCCCCGGCUAACUCCGUGCCAGCAGCCGCGGUAAUACGGAGGGGGCUAGCGUUGUUCGGAAUUACUGGGCGUAAAGCGCACGUAGGCGGACUGGAAAGUCAGGGGUGAAAUCCCGGGGCUCAACCCCGGAACUGCCUUUGAAACUCCCAGUCUUGAGUUCGAGAGAGGUGAGUGGAAUUCCGAGUGUAGAGGUGAAAUUCGUAGAUAUUCGGAGGAACACCAGUGGCGAAGGCGGCUCACUGGCUCGAUACUGACGCUGAGGUGCGAAAGCGUGGGGAGCAAACAGGAUUAGAAACCCGGUUAGUCC